UUAAAUUGAAGAGUUUGAUCAUGGCUCAGAUUGAACGCUGGCGGCAGGCCUAACACAUGCAAGUCGAACGGUAACAGGAAGAAGCUUGCUUCUUUCGCUGACGAGUGGCGGACGGGUGAGUAAUGUCUGGGAAACUGCCUGAUGGAGGGGGAUAACUACUGGAAACGGUAGCUAAUACCGCAUAACGUCGCAAGACCAAAGAGGGGGACCUUCGGGCCUCUUGCCAUCGGAUGUGCCCAGAUGGGAUUAGCUUGUUGGUGGGGUAACGGCUCACCAAGGCGACGAUCCCUAGCUGGUCUGAGAGGAUGACCAGCCACACUGGAACUGAGACACGGUCCAGACUCCUACGGGAGGCAGCAGUGGGGAAUAUUGCACAAUGGGCGCAAGCCUGAUGCAGCCAUGCCGCGUGUAUGAAGAAGGCCUUCGGGUUGUAAAGUACUUUCAGCGGGGAGGAAGGGAGUAAAGUUAAUACCUUUGCUCAUUGACGUUACCCGCAGAAGAAGCACCGGCUAACUCCGUGCCAGCAGCCGCGGUAAUACGGAGGGUGCAAGCGUUAAUCGGAAUUACUGGGCGUAAAGCGCACGCAGGCGGUUUGUUAAGUCAGAUGUGAAAUCCCCGGGCUCAACCUGGGAACUGCAUCUGAUACUGGCAAGGCUUGAGUCUCGUAGAGGGGGGUAGAAUUCCAGGUGUAGCGGUGAAAUGCGUAGAGAUCUGGAGGAAUACCGGUGGCGAAGGCGGCCCCCUGGACGAAGACUGACGCUCAGGUGCGAAAGCGUGGGGAGCAAACAGGAUUAGAUACCCUGGUAGUCCACGCCGUAAACGAUGUCGACUUGGAGGUUGUGCCCUUGAGGCGUGGCUUCCGGAGCUAACGCGUUAAGUCGACCGCCUGGGAGUACGGCCGCAAGGUUAAAACUCAAAUGAAUUGACGGGGGCCCGCACAAGCGGUGGAGCAUGUGGUUUAAUUCGAUGCAACGCGAAGAACCUUACCUGGUCUUGACAUCCACAGAACUUUCCAGAGAUGGAUUGGUGCCUUCGGGAACUGUGAGACAGGUGCUGCAUGGCUGUCGUCAGCUCGUGUUGUGAAAUGUUGGGUUAAGUCCCGCAACGAGCGCAACCCUUAUCCUUUGUUGCCAGCGGUCCGGCCGGGAACUCAAAGGAGACUGCCAGUGAUAAACUGGAGGAAGGUGGGGAUGACGUCAAGUCAUCAUGGCCCUUACGACCAGGGCUACACACGUGCUACAAUGGCGCAUACAAAGAGAAGCGACCUCGCGAGAGCAAGCGGACCUCAUAAAGUGCGUCGUAGUCCGGAUUGGAGUCUGCAACUCGACUCCAUGAAGUCGGAAUCGCUAGUAAUCGUGGAUCAGAAUGCCACGGUGAAUACGUUCCCGGGCCUUGUACACACCGCCCGUCACACCAUGGGAGUGGGUUGCAAAAGAAGUAGGUAGCUUAACCUUCGGGAGGGCGCUUACCACUUUGUGAUUCAUGACUGGGGUGAAGUCGUAACAAGGUAACCGUAGGGGAACCUGCGGUUGGAUCACCUCCUUACCUUAAAGAAGC
rnacentral:rRNA from 1 species